AGUGGCUCAAUGGUAGAGUGCUUGCCCUGCAUGCAAGAGGUCCUGGGUUCAAUUCCUCAGUACUA
rnacentral:tRNA from 1 species